rnacentral:rRNA from 1 species
AUUGAACGCUGGCGGCAUGCUUUACACAUGCAAGUCGAACGGUAACAGGCCGCAAGGUGCUGACGAGUGGCGAACGGGUGAGUAAUGCAUCGGAACGUGCCCAGUCGUGGGGGAUAACGCGGCGAAAGCUGCGCUAAUACCGCAUACGAUCUAUGGAUGAAAGCGGGGGACCGUAAGGCCUCGCGCGAUUGGAGCGGCCGAUGUCAGAUUAGGUAGUUGGUGGGGUAAAGGCGCACCAAGCCAACGAUCUGUAGCUGGUCUGAGAGGACGACCAGCCACACUGGGACUGAGGCACGGCCCAGACUCCUACGGGAGGCAGCAGUGGGGAAUUUUGGACAAUGGGCGCAAGCCUGAUCCAGCAAUGCCGCGUGCAGGAAGAAGGCCUUCGGGUUGUGAACUGCUUUUGUACGGAACGAAACGGCUCUGGUUAAUACCUGGGGCUAAUGACGGUACCGUAAGAAUAAGCACCGGUUAACUACGUGCCAGCCGCCGCCGUAA